ensembl:lncRNA
AGGUAGUCGUUUAAACAGGACACAGGUGAUUUUUUUGGUACUGGUAUGGUGGUUGUGGAUUUGAGACAUGUGGGGACGACUGCCUGGCUCAGCGAGGUGUUGAAGAUAUCUGUUAGGACAUCUGUCAGCUGUACAGCACAGUCUCUCAGUACACGGCCAGGACCCGCAGCCUUGCGUGGGUUAAUCCUAGAUAGGGUCUUCCUAACAUCAGCUGGAGACAGACAGAGCACCUGGUCGUUGGGAGGUAUGGCCAGUUUUUGUGCAGGUGUGUCAUUCUGCAUUUCAAACUGUGAAUAAAAGUGGUUGAGUGUAUCAUGAAGGGAUGUGUCGUCAUCACAGGCCUGUGGUGGGGACUUGUAGGCAGUGAUGGUCUGAAUGGCUUGCCAUAGGCUCUGUGUCUCUGCUGUCAUGUUUAUUUAACAUGCUGAAUAAACAUAACCACUGUACAUAUUUUUUCAGUGUACUAAGAAACGUUAUCUGACUACUGAAAUUUUAAUACAAAAUUAGGUGAUUGUAAAAUCACACCUUCAGUUACAAACCAUUUUAUGCUUAUAUUCUGUUGAUUCUUCUUACAUCACAUCUUUUCUCAUUAUUUUAGAGUCUUUACAGUUGGAUGCUUCGCCAGUGAACGUUCAUUAAAAAACAUGGCUAAUAGCAAAGAAUCCUGUGGAGAGCUGGUAACGGCUGAGUUAGAAACCUCUGGAGAGCUGGUAACGGCUGAGUUAGAGAUUGUCGAUGACAACGCUAUACUGAAAGCAGAUUUCAUUCAGGAGCUUCUUCCGUCUGCGGAGCGAACAGCUCUCCUUUAUCACCUGACUUUCCUGAGUCUGGGAGGAUUCCCAAAGCUUGAGCGUGUGAUCAGAGACCAAGCUAUUGAAACUCAACUGCUGUUUGGAUCCUCUGAAGCCGUUUUGCUGAAGUGUGUCGGCACGAGUUCCAACCUGGUCACUUCCCUCUUUCCAAUAUUGAUAAAAGCUGUGGAGAAGAACAAACCUGUUUUGGCGGUGAGGUAUCUGAUGAAAGCCAAAGAGUGGAUCACUGACAUCAUAAGACAAGUGGAUGACAUAGUGAAGAGGUAUGAUCAACACAACCAAAGUGUGAAAACAUGCACCAGUGACGUGUAUCAAGAACAAGCAGAGACCGAAGAAAAAAAAGAGAAAAAUUCUGAUGAGAUGAAGGGUCUGAAGGAUGCUCUGGCCGAGCACAAAGAGGAUCUGGAAAUAGUAGUCAACAAAACAGAGAUGAAUGAGAAACAAAUUCAAAAAAACACUGAGGAGCUAAACAGCUUCAUCAGAAGAUUUCAGGAAGAUUAUAGCCACUGGACUAAGAAGUUCCUUGCCUUUUUUAGAGGCUAUCCAGAUGGUAUGAAGGAGCCUACUGCCAUCGCUCUGGAUAGAGAACUGAAACAUCUCGACUCUGAGAAGAGCCGUCUGAAAAAUGAAGAGUGGAACAUCAAAACCGAGCAGCUUGAUCUUCAGCUGAAGCUGGCCAACUGUAAAAUACGGAUGGGUGAGAUUCCCGACCCUGACAACCUGAAGGAAGUCCAGCUGUGUCUUUCUCAAAUCCAGCAAAUUCUGGUUGAUCUGAAAAAGUUUUGGGAGAAGGUGGAUGCUAUUCUGAGCACGCUGAAAGAUAAAACCUUUGUUGGGGAGGAAAUGGUGGACAUGGAGGACAUGAAGGAUGAGUUUAUAAGCUCCAUUGAAGAUGCAGCAAAGGUAAGUUAGACGUUGAGCAAAUGUUCCUGAUGUAAUUUGAUUAUGCCUUUCAUGAAUUCUCUGAGUUCUCACUUUCAUUUCCUAUGUUGUUUUU